UCGAUCGGCGAGUCAAUUAGAGGUGAUAACCGACUCGGGGAGGAGAAGAAAAAGGGGAAAAAAUCAGCUAUCACACACAUAAGGCAUUCGAGAAAAUAUCAGAAGAGAGAGAGAAUGGAGAAAACUAGAGAGAGAAAGCAAGAGGGAUAGGGUCAGAGGUCCUCAACCGAGCGUCCGGCGCCGCCCUAAUCGGAGGAGCGCUAGCAAAUCGACCCCUUGGCUGUGACCUUCCCUUCCCUAUUCCGGUCAAAUAGCUGAUCGCAAAACCCUGAAAACAAGCUCCGAUUGACCAACCGAUGACUUUCCCAGCGAAGCUGAUCGCUGUGGGUGAUAGUACAAGUGCAAGAGAACUAAACUGAAGCGGCCUAGUGGUUUGAAAACUCCAUUUCUGCCAUCGUCAACGAAGGUAUAAAUCGUUCGCAAUUGUACAUUAAUUGUUCAAUAAAAUGCUAAAGUCAAUAAUCGAGUUAAAUCUUGGUUGAUCUUGUGGUUUGUUUGUUGUAUUGUUGAUUACAAGUUCCACGCUUGCAUUUCUAAUAAGUUUUUGUUUGAUUCUUGCAUUUUGGAUCAUUGAACUUGCAUUUUGCACCAAGUUGGUCUUGUAUUUGCUUCGCCGGAACUUGCUAGCUCUCGCUGGAGUGCUUUCCAGCGGCCAAUGGCCGUUCAAUAAGCCGCGAGAACCUGCUUGGCAAAAGCAGCAGAGAAUGGGGACAAAGCCAUGGCCAACAUCACAAACACCGGCAAUUUCACCUCCAUUGUUGUUACCUUGUUAUGCCUAGGAACAUCUUCAAUCCCGAGUAUGUACAUACGGAGGAUUUGAUCCGCCGUGAAGAUUGGGUGUAGUCAGUGGAAAAGACUUGGAAGUCAGUGAGUGAACUUCUUUGCUUGUUGUCACUUCUGGACUUUAAUAAAGUGGCCACACUGUUAGGAAUCAAUUUCUCUUCAGUGCUAUCGUCUUCGGGACUCGGUACUUCCACGGCGUCGGGCUCUUAAACACGGCCGGUCGUGACGAGAAGCGUGGUCCGUUGAAUCGAGUAAAAGAAAUGUCAGCCGUCGGAUGGCGAGCAUAUGAGAUGACCCCCCAUGAUAUUUUCUUGCUAAUCAGGAUUGAACCGCAUGAACAUUUCCUUGCGAAUCAGUAUUGUUUCUAGUCAAAUAAGCUAUUUUUAUACUUCGUGUGAAAAUGUAAGAAUCCAAUAUAUUUUCCAACUUGACCUUCGAACCACGGAAAGUUGAAUUUGGUUACAGUAAAUUAGUGGGAAGUUCUACCAUAAGGUGAAAAGAAUUAA